UUUUCUUCGUUCAUAUCGAUUAAUUCUAGAAUACAUUCGAGAGCUCUAUUCUCUCUCUCACACACACAGACGUCAUUUUGUUUCCUUCCCUUCUCUGUUUAUAGCCUUCGUGACUCACUAACUGGUCGUGGUUUUCAAAUUCCUCUGCUUUGGUUCGAGAUUGUCUUGUGUUGUUGUAUACCUGAGUUGCGGUAAGUUUUUUCCCCCUUUGUCCUUCUUUUUUAUUCGCACUCUCCUUAUUCCCUGCUUGCCCUACUAGAAUGAAACUGUAUUGAACAAAAGUUUUUUUCUUGUGUGCUUGGAAUAUAUGCAUUAUUUAUCUCUUUGACUCUUCUUUGUUUCCUUGACUUUCUUCAAUUCAAUAAGAGAAUAUUUUUCUUAAUUAAUGCAUGUUGAUUUUAUUAUUUUUCAUGUUUCAUGUUUUUGUUAUUUUUUGGGGUUUCUAAUUUUUACAAUACAUGUCAUUCCCAGUUUGAUUUUUGGUGGUUCCGGCAUCCCUAAGCAUUUCUGGGUGAUCGUGAUUGGCUCUUUUCUAGGUUAACAAUUUAUUUUAUGUUACUUUUGCUAAGUUUCGUUGUGAAUUCUGCAAUUCAAUUUCUAUUCAAGGGUUGCACGAACUAUUUUGUCAUAAUUUUAACUUAAUUCUAAGUAGUUUUGUUAUUGCCCGUAAUUAACAAUUUGAGAUUCAAAAUGCUUGUGUUUCCUGAAUUAUAUUAUUAUUUUAAUUAGUUGAGUUAAGAUUGAGGUGCAAUUAAUGGAUUAAUGUUCUCUGUUUUUCUGUGUGUGUUGACUUGGUUGAUUGAUGGUUGCAGGUAAAGGGAUUAUUUUUAGCUUAGAUGUGAGAUCAGAUUAGAUUUAACAUUAAAUUUGACUCAUGGUUGAAGAACUCACAAGAAUGUGAGAUUUAUGAUUGUAGGAGGUAAUACUUCUUUUAUACGAUCACUGUGUAUCUCUAAUAUAUUUUAAUUUGAGAUAAUU
rnacentral:lncRNA from 1 species